GAUGAACGCUGGCGGCGUGCCUAAUACAUGCAAGUCGAGCGAACAGAUAAGGAGCUUGCUCCUUUGACGUUAGCGGCGGACGAGUGAGUAACACGUGGGUAACCUACCUAUAAGACUGGGAUAACUUCGGGAAACCGGAGCUAAUACCGGAUAACAUUUGGAACCGCAUGGUUCUAAAGUGAAAGAUGGUUUUGCUAUCACUUAUAGAUGGACCCGCGCCGUAUUAGCUAGUUGGUAAGGUAACGGCUUACCAAGGCGACGAUACGUAGCCGACCUGAGAGGGUGAUCGGCCACACUGGAACUGAGACACGGUCCAGACUCCUACGGGAGGCAGCAGUAGGGAAUCUUCCGCAAUAGGCGAAAGCCUGACGGAGCAACGCCGCGUGAGUGAUGAAGGGUUUCGGCUCGUAAAACUCUGUUAUUAGGGAAGAACAAAUGUGUAAGUAACUGUGCACGUCUUGACGGUACCUAAUCAGAAAGCCACGGCUAACUACGUG
rnacentral:rRNA from 1 species